UUAUAAGCCAAAAUGUGCUUAUAUCCCAAGCAGGGUGCACACCUCAGUCUUGUAUUACACAUCUCUCCCAGCCCAUGCUGGGAGAAAAACCUCCACCUUUACCCUCCUCCACCUCGCUAUGUGGAGGAAUUUCUGCUACCUGCUGUUUCUUUUAAGGUCAUAUUUUUCAACCUCUCGUGCACCAGAAUUUCCAAAUUUUAAGGCUUUUUAAACCUUUAUUUCUUUCUAAGAAUUUUUUUUUUCUGAUGCUUUUCAUUUGGUUUCUUCUUGAGUUGGUGGCAGACACAUAAUAGAUGGCAAGCAAGCCCAGUUAUCCCCAUGACAGAGCAGCCAAGUCUUCUCUUUCCAAGUAUGAUCUAUUUGCAGCCAUUAUUUAUCACAACUGAGGACUGUACAGAAAUGAAAACAGGAAAAUACCAGCUUGGCACGUCUGAUGGCUGCCAUACUAUGCCUGCUCAAUAUAGACCAAAUUAUUCAUUGUAAUCAAACUUCAGAGGGGAUGCUGAGUGCCAACAGCCUGCUGGCCAACGCCUCCCCAUGGACACCAGCAGCAGCCCCUGUCCCUCUGGCUCUUGCAGGCCCCUGCUGUGAGCUGGUCUUGAGGUUUCUGUGUUCAUGUCUGUCAGUGAGACUGCAGUGAUGGCUGGAAUAUGUGUUAAAUGUUGUUGUGUUGACUUCUGGACUCAGAAAACAGGCUGCGUAAAGCUCACUUGUAGCAUCUCAGAGCAAGAAUCACAAAGGAGUGUCCUGGACUGCAUGGGACCAGAGCUGGGAUCAGUGUCUGCAAAGCAAGGGUAGCUUUUCACAUGAACAUCUGUGCUUCCUCCAAAACCUGCCUGAUGGAGGAGACAGGCUGAUGUUUACUGAGCAUGUAUGGAAAGCUGGGCCAGUGCAGACUUCAGAGCUACUCCUGAAAGUGAGGCUGCAUCUGCUCUGCCCUGAUUCUAGCCAGGAUGCCUUUCCCCUUCCAUCAUGGACUUCUUACAUGAGUUCCAGAGUAACUGCAGGGGUGCAUCCCAAAAGACAUUCCUGGAGGUAGAUGCUGAUGUGCAGAAGACAAAAUAUAGCACUCUUCAAAGUGCUUUAGCCCCGUGUCCUCUACUGUUUGCUCAGCUCACUGAGUCACAUUUUUAUCAAAUUCUCACAGUGUAUUGAAAGCAAAGGGAUUAAAUAUUUAUUAUUGUGAUUACCUGCCUCUGUAAACAGCAUUAUGGUCCUGUCCUUUGUUUGCUUAUCGAUGUUCCACUGCAAGUGGACACACAUACAAGGGCAGGGGGAGCCAAGGAAGAGGGAAGGCUGUGCCUGAGCCCCCCAGCACAACAGGGAACCACAGACCUGCUGAUGGUUUCCAGACAACAUCAGUGGCUGGAGAUGGAAGGUUAAAGCACUGACAUAGUGAGGCAAUUCAUCAAACCCUCUCUUUGCUCUCAGCACAGGGUUAGCCUUGAGGGUCUCAUGGAGUUCAGAUCUUCUCUGGAAGCAGAGCACUAUGUUGAUGGAUACAGACAAGGCAGCUUGCUGUGCUCCUGGCUCCAGGGGCAUUGGAGCACGUCUCUUGGAUUGUGAGUCAGUGAAGCAUCUCUGGAGGCAGGUCUCAUGGACUCCCCAAAAGGACGUAAGCCCAGAUAUUGCAAGCCCUG
rnacentral:lncRNA from 1 species